UUAAAGUUUUAUUCUUUCUUAAGCUUUUGUAACACUAUAAAAAUUGUAUGAAAAUUAAAGUGAGUAAUUUAAUAAAUUUUAUAUAGAUUUAAGUAAAAAAUAAAAAUUAUAGUUUAUAAUAAAUAAAAUCUCAGCAUAAAUCAUUAGACAAUACAUGUAAAUGUGAUCUGGUAAUAGUUAGAAACCUGAUUAAAUAUUGUGCCAGCAGUCGCGGUUAGACUUUAGGGUUGAGUGAAAGUUAUUGGUUUAUUAGUUAAGAGGGGAUUAUUAUAGAUUUAAAAAAAUAAAAAGUGAAAUUAGAUUAUUUUUUAUAAAUUAAAUUAAUUUAAACUGAAGCUAGAAAAUUUCUAGGCCUAAACUAGGAUUAGAUACCCUAUUAUACUGGAGUUUAAUAAUAUAACUUGAACAUUAACAGUUAUAAUCUAAAAAUUUGAAGAAUUUGGCGGUGGUUUAGUCUUGUCAGAGGAACCUGUUUUAUAAUCGAUACACCACGAAAAUCUUACUUAUUUUUGUUAAAUCAGCUUGUAUACCAUCAUUAUCAGAUAAUUUUUAAAGAAAUAUUAUUGAUAUUUUAAUUAUAAUUAAAAUUAGAUCAAGGUGCAGCCGAUAAAUAAGUUUAAAUGGGUUACAAUAAUCUUAAAUUAUAUGGAAUGAUUUUUUAAAUAAGGUCAAAAAAGAGGAUUUGAUUGUAAUAAAAGCUUAAUAUGCUUAAAAGAUAAAAGCUCUAAAUCAUGUACAUAUCGCCCGUCGCUUUCAUUUAGAGAUGAAAUAAGUCGUAACAUAGUAGGCUCACUGGAAAGUAAGCCUGGAUUAAU
rnacentral:ncRNA from 1 species